rnacentral:rRNA from 1 species
CUACGGGAGGCAGCAGUGGGGAAUAUUGGACAAUGGGCGCAAGCCUGAUCCAGCAAUACCGCGUGUGUGAAGAAGGCCUGCGGGUUGUAAAGCACUUUCAAUUGUGAAGAAAAGCCUGGGGUUAAUACCCUCGGGUCUUGACGUUAACUUUAGAAGAAGCACCGGCUAACUCCGUGCCAGCAGCCGCGGUAAUACGGAGGGUGCGAGCGUUAAUCGGAAUUACUGGGCGUAAAGCGUGCGUAGGCGGCUAGGUCAGUCAGAUGUGAAAGCCCCGGGCUUAACCUGGGAACUGCAUUUGAUACUGCGUGGCUAGAGUAUGGUAGAGGGAAGUGGAAUUCCGGGUGUAGCGGUGAAAUGCGUAGAUAUCCGGAGGAACACCAGUGGCGAAGGCGACUUCCUGGACCAAUACUGACGCUGAGGUACGAAAGCGUGGGUAGCAAACAGGAUUAGAUACCCGCGUAGUC